rnacentral:tRNA from 1 species
GCCGAAGUGGUGGAAUUGGUAGACACGCUAUCUUGAGGGGGUAGUAGAGGAAACUCUGUGUGGGUUCAAGUCCCGCCUUCGGCACAA